rnacentral:pre_miRNA from 1 species
UAAAUACUCCCUCCGUCCAGAAAUACUUGUCGGAGGAAUGGAUGUAUCUAGACAUAUUUUAGUUCUAGAUACAUUCACUUUUAUGCAUUUCUCCGACAAGUAUUUCCGGACGGAGGGAGUAUAAG